UUGAUUCUGGGGCCACUCACCAGAAGACACUGGAUCCUCCCUCAGACUUUAAUCCUUCUCUGACCCUAGCCACCACCCUCAGACUAGAGGUUCCUAACCAUCCCCUCUGACCUGACAGAGCCACCCUCUCUGUCCUAGGCUGAGCCUGCAGCCUCCCUACUCAGAUCAGACAGCACGCCGCCUCCCUUGGUGCCCCUGCUCUGUGGCACCUGCUGGGAUGUCCCUGGGAUCCCGAGAGCCAGGGGACAUCCCCCGGAGUCCAGCCACCCCCACGGAGGGUCCGGCUGGCCAGCGGCUGUUUGUUCCGUCUGCCUGUCGCCUAAUGGUUCCAACAGGCAUGGGGCGGCAGCCAGGGCGGGCGCGGCCUUUGCCGAGUGAGCUCACGUCUGCCCAGGCAACUGGGCCAGGGGUGGGCAGAGGGCAUGUGGGCUGGGCACUGGGGUGGAGGAAAGAGGAGACCUGGGGUCACCUGGGGUGGCAGCCUCGAUCUUCCCCAUCAGAGGGAUGGGUGUGACCCUUAGCCUCAGCCAAGUGUGGGUCCAUCCAAGCUGGGGAGAUUGAGGUUCAGACAGGCAGGGGCGACCAGGAGCUGGGGCACAGGGGCCUCCACCCAAGCCCCCCAGGCCCCAAUGUGCCCCCCUCUGCCUGGCAUGCCUGAGGGGAUGUCCAGGCUCACGAGGGGGAUGGACAGCAGCUUGAGCGUGGCCAGCGCGCGGGUGCAGGGGCCCCCGACCUCGCCCGGCUCCACGCCGGGGCCCAGUACGGCAUCCACCACCAGCCCAUAGGCUUCGUUAAUGAGCUGCACCUGGGGAAGGCAGGCAGGGUCAGGGUGGCCCAGGGCCACUGCACACCAUGUCCCCCUUGCUUGCCACCCAGCGCUGACCUCAGUGGGCAGGUAGCUCAGGAAGGGGAUGUCCAUCUUCUCGCACUGGGUGGUCAGGUCCCGAUGCAGCAGGUCCAGCGAGCGUGUGGGGUAGAAGAUGGUGGGUUCAUACUCCUGGGGGUGGGAGAAGAGGGGGUCAGACUCCCCUGACCUGGUCACCAGCACCAGACCCUGCCUGGGACAAGCACUGGGCAUAUUCUAUAACCUGGCCCUGCGUCAAUGUCCCCCUGGGAAGCUAUCAAAAGAAGGCAGUGAUUUCUGCAGGGGCAGGGACUUUGGGAGGUCGAAGGGGUCCUUGCUACUUACAAACACCCGCAGGUGCCGGGCACAGACCAGCCCCACUGCCCCGUUCUGCUCCGGGCCACACACGACCAGCACCGUCCUCUGCUUCCGGGAGAGAGCGGGCAACGGGAACGCCUGGUGGUAGGGGACACAGCAAAGGCACAGGCACAGUCCAGAUUCCUCCUUGCCUGGAGAGGAAACUGAGGCCCGGAGUAGGGGAAGGGAUGGGGCUUGGGCCUGGAGGCAACAGGAUAGGACAGGAGGUGAGCUGUUCUGGAUGAGGGGUUGGGCCUCUUGGGGCCUCAGUUUCCCCGCUGGAGAUGCAGAGGCCCGGUCUCAGGCUCUGCCAGGUCGGUGCAGGAAAAACGUGCAUCCAGCCACUGCCCGUCGCCCGGAGUGCGGUUUGUUUAUUCUCCGCCUGAGUUGCAGACAUUCUUCCACCUUUCUCACCGCGGGCCCACCCCCGCCCAUGUUUCCAGACCUCAGCCCCUCCUGGAGGCUGUGGAGUAGGGGAGCCCAACCUUAGCCACGAUGCCCUGGGGCCUCUCUGUCUCUCUCUGGCUGUCUCUGUGUCUCUCUGUAUCUCUCAGACUCUCCGUGUCUCUGUCUCUCUGUGUGUCUCUGUCUCUCUGUAUGUCUCUGGCUCUCUUCAUGUCUCUCUCCCCACCUGUCUCUGGCUGUUUCUGUAUCUCUCAGACUCUCUGUGUCUCUGUCUGUCUGUCUCUGUCUCUCUCCGUCUCUGGCCGUCUCUGUGUCUGUCUGUAUCUCUCAGACUCUCUGUGUCUCUGGCUCUCUUUGUGUCUCUGUCUCUCUCCAUCUGUCUCUGGCUGUCUCUGUGUCUGUCUGUAUCUCUCAGACUCUAGUGUCUCUGUCUUUCUGUAUGUCUCUGGCUCUCUUUCUCCAUUUGUCUCUCUCUCCAUUUGUCUCUGGCUGUCUCUGUAUCUCUCUGUUAUCUGUCUCUCUCCAUCUGUCUCUGGCCAUCUCUGUAUCUCUCAGACUCUGUCUCUCCAGGCAUUUUGGCCCCAGCCCUGCCCUGAUUCUGCGUGGCCCCAGCCCCUUCUCUCCCAGACUCAGUUUGGCCUUUAUCAAAUGCGAUGACAGUGCCACCGCCUGACAGGCACUCUGGGUGUCUCUUGAGCCCCAGCUGUACUUUAAGCUCCAACCACACAGACAGCAGAUUACUCCCCUUUCAAGUAUCCUCCCCAAAGGCUUAGCGCAGUCCUGACCUGCCAUGAACAUGCCUGCGAUCCCAGCCACACCGGGCCCAGAGCCCAAGACCCAAGACUGGGACUGAGGGGCUUCUGGACAGACAAGGGGCUUUCAGUGCAAAAACCAGACAGUUGGCCACUGAGCGCCAGGCGAGUAGUGACUACUGGGUUUCUUUCUGGGGUUUUGAUUUUCCUUCUCCUUUGGGCGCCUCACCCGGGAUCUAUUUCAUUUGGAAAUACAAACAUUUAAGUCCACAUGAAG
rnacentral:lncRNA from 1 species